AUCUUUCUCUAUUUGUUAUUAUGUUUAACACUAUGUAUAUGGAACAACAAGACCCCAAGGAUUAAGCUGUCCACUUUAACAAAACCAUGUUUAAAAGGGGGAUUAGGACUUCCAAAUUUUUUAUGGCACU